rnacentral:rRNA from 1 species
UCAGCCGCCGCGGUAAAACGUAGGAGGCGAGCGUUAUCCGGAUUUACUGGGUGUAAAGCGCGUGCAGGCGGUUUUCAAAGUGGUGCGUGAAAGCGCCCGGCUCAACCGGGCGAGGCCGUGCCAAACUGGAAAGCUUGAGGUAGGUAGAGGCGGGUGGAAUUCCGGGUGUAGUGGUGAAAUGCGUAGAGAUCCGGAGGAACACCAGAGGCGAAGGCGACCCGCUGGGCCUGACCUGACGCUCAGACGCGAAAGCAUGGGGAGCGAACGGGAUUAGAAACCCCGGUAGUCCAUGCCGUAAACGAUGUCGACUAGGUGUGGCGGGGGUAACACCCUGCUGUGCCGAAGCCAACGCGAUAAGUCGACCACCUGGGGACUACGGCCGCAAGGUUAAAACUCAAAGGAAUUGACGGGGGCCCGCACA